UGUCUCAGUACUUGCUUUUACAAGGCGAAACCGCGAAUGGCUCAUUAAAUCAGUUAUGGUUCACUAGAUCGUACAGUUUACAUGGAUAACUGUGGUAAUUCUAGAGCUAAUACAUGCACCCAGUCCGUUCCCUCGUGGAGCGGAUGCAGUUAUUUGCCCAAAACCAAUCCGGCCUUCGGGUCGGUCAAUUGGUGACUCUGAAUAACCGAAGCGGAGCGCAUGGUCUCGUACCGGCGCCAGAUCUUUCAAGUGUCUGACUUAUCAGCUUGUUGUUAGGUUAUGUUCCUAACAAGGCAUCAACGGGUAACGGAGUGUCAGGGCCCGACACCGGAGAGGGAGCCUGAGAAACGGCUACCACAUCCAAGGAAGGCAGCAGGCGCGCAAAUUACCCACUCCCGGCACGGGGAGGUAGUGACGAAAAAUAACGAUGCGAGAGCUUUAUGCUCCUCGUAAUCGGAAUGGGUACACUUUAAAUCCUUUAACGAGGAUCUAUUGGAGGGCAAGUCUGGUGCCAGCAGCCGCGGUAAUUCCAGCUCCAAUAGCGUAUAUUAAAGUUGCUGCGGUUAAAAAGCUCGUAGUUGGAUCUGGGUAGUCGAUGGACGGUGCGCUUUACGGCGUCUACUGUUCGUUCGGCACCACAUGCCGGCCAUGUCUUGCAUGCUCUUCACUGAGUGUGCUUGGCGACCGGAACGUUUACUUUGAAAAAAUUAGAGUGCUCAAAGCAGGCGUUAAGCCUUGCAUAAUGGUGCAUGGAAUAAUAGAAUAGGACCUCGGUUCUAUUUUGUUGGUUUUCGGAGCUCGAGGUAAUGAUUAAUAGGAACAGACGGGGGCAUUCGUAUUGCGGCGUUAGAGGUGAAAUUCUUGGAUCGUCGCAAGACGCA
rnacentral:rRNA from 1 species